GAAUAUUGCACAAUGGGGGAAACCCUGAUGCAGCCAUGCCGCGUGUGUGAAGAAGGCCUUCGGGUCGUAAAGCACUUUCAGUGGUGAGGAAGGCCACAAGGUUAAUACCCUUGUGGAUUGACGUUAGCCACAGAAGAAGCACCGGCUAACUCCGUGCCAGCAGCCGCGGUAAUACGGAGGGUGCAAGCGUUAAUCGGAAUUACUGGGCGUAAAGCGCACGCAGGCGGUUUGUUAAGCGAGAUGUGAAAGCCCCGGGCUCAACCUGGGAACCGCAUUUCGAACUGGCAAACUAGAGUCUUGGAGAGGGGGGUAGAAUUUCCGGUGUAGCGGUGAAAUGCGUAGAGAUCGGAAGGAAUACCAGUGGCGAAGGCGGCCCCCUGGCCAAAGACUGACGCUCAGGUGCGAAAGCGUGGGGAGCAAACAGG
rnacentral:rRNA from 1 species